rnacentral:rRNA from 1 species
AACGCUAGCUACAGGCUUAACACAUGCAAGUCGAGGGGAAACGACAUCGAAAGCUUGCUUUUGAUGGGCGUCGACCGGCGCACGGGUGAGUAACGCGUAUCCAACCUGCCCACCACUUGGGGAUAACCUUGCGAAAGUAAGACUAAUACCCGAUGAUAUCUCUAGACGACAUCUGAAAGGGAUUAAAGAUUUAUCGGUGAUGGAUGGGGAUGCGUCUGAUUAGCUUGUUGGCGGGGUAACGGCCCACCAAGGCGACGAUCGGUAGGGGUUCUGAGAGGAAGGUCCCCCACAUCGGAACUGAGACACGGUCCAAACUCCUACGGGAGGCAGCAGUGAGGAAUAUUGGUCAAUGGACGCAAGUCUGAACCAGCCAAGUAGCGUGCAGGAUGACGGCCCUAUGGGUUGUAAACUGCUUUUAUGCGGGGAUAAAGUGUGGGACGUGUCCCAUAUUGCAGGUACCGCAUGAAUAAGGACCGGCUAAUUCCGUGCCAGCAGCCGCGGUAAUACGGAAGGUCCGGGCGUUAUCCGGAUUUAUUGGGUUUAAAGGGAGCGUAGGCCGUCGUUUAAGCGUGUUGUGAAAUGCCGCGGCUCAACCGUGGCACUGCAGCGCGAACUGGAUGACUUGAGUUCGCGGGAGGUAGGCGGAAUUCGUGGUGUAGCGGUGAAAUGCUUAGAUAUCACGAAGAACUCCGAUUG